AUUGAACGCUGGCGGCAUGCCUAACACAUGCAAGUCGAACGGCAGCACAGCAGUAGCAAUACUGUGGGUGGCGAGUGGCGGACGGGUGAGGAAUACGUCGGAAUCUGCCCAGUCGUGGGGGAUAACUAGCCGAAAGGUUAGCUAAUACCGCAUACGACCGAGAGGUGAAAGCGGGGGACCGCAAGGCCUCGCGCGAUUGGAUGAGCCGACGUCGGAUUAGCUAGUUGGCGGGGUAAAGGCCCACCAAGGCGACGAUCCGUAGCUGGUCUGAGAGGAUGAUCAGCCACACUGGAACUGAGACACGGUCCAGACUCCUACGGGAGGCAGCAGUGGGGAAUAUUGGACAAUGGGCGCAAGCCUGAUCCAGCAAUGCCGCGUGUGUGAAGAAGGCCUUCGGGUUG
rnacentral:rRNA from 1 species